GGCAGCAACCAGUCCAAAAUACCGUUACUAGUCUCUACCGCAGAUUGGUCUACGUUCUCCUAGCUGCCCAAAACAUUGGCUCCAACAAGCUAAGUACAUUAACCUGUGUCGCUGGAUAUUCCAGCUGAUGUGUUUUUAUAUUCCAUAUGAACUUGUAUAAAAGUUCCUGCGCUACUUCCACACAACUGCUCAUCAAGCGAAGAACUCAGAAGAAUAGCAGGCAAUUUCGUGGCCUCCAAGAGUCAACGGCUACGACGCACACAAAGAAGUAAAAUGACGAUAUGGCAGAGUGUGUUGUUGAUUGCAACAGCAAGCUAUGUGUCGUCUAUUUGUGACGAAUGCUGGCGAGACAAUGAAUGGAAAGUUAUAUGCUACACUUAUGAAGUGCCGGAAGAUUUGUGCCCCGGUGUUCCUGCGACAUACUGCAGGAAAAAGAAGCAGCGAUGUGUUUGCGGCUGCAAAUAUGGAACGUAUCGGAGGAUGGACUGGGCAUGCGUGCCGUAUAGAGAAUGCGAACACAGGACGAUGGAACCAAUGCACCUGCUGACGAGCAAAGAAGACCUCAUCAUGGUGGGCGUUUCGGGAGACAUGUACCGAUGGGCUCCUGUCAGCUGCUUCAAAUCUGAAUUUAUUGACUAUAAGAAUAACAAACUCCAGCGCACCAUACAAUACGAAACAGGUCGCUACUUAGAACAUACUGCACCUAUUGGGUCAAGAAGAGCAAUGUGAUGAAUCGGCACUGGGCUUGUGACUUCAUAUUAAACCAUUACUGCCGAAGCCCAGAAAUUGUGAUUAAGGAUACAAAGGAUUGUUGGCCUGAAGGAAAUGCAUAAAGAUAAAAAUUAACUACACCAAUGCAAUCGACAAUGAUGUUCAAUGUUAGCGAAAAGCCUCUA